CCUCUCUCUCUCUCUCUCUGUCCGUCCCUCUCUCUCUCUCUGUCCCUCCCAAUCUCUCUGUCCGUCCCUCCCUCUCUCUGUCCGUCCCUCCCUCUCUCUCUCUCUGUCCCUCUCUCUCUCUCUGUCCGUCCCUCCCUCUCUCUGUCUGUCCUCCCUCUCUCUCUCUCUGUCGUCCCUCCUCUCUCUCUGUCCGUCCCUCCCUCUCUCUCUCUGUCCGUCCCUCCCUCUCUCUCUGUCAGUCCUCCCUCUCUCUCUGUCGGUCCCUCCCUCUCUCUCUCUGUCCGUCCACUCCCUCUCUCUCUCUGUCCGUCCCUCCCUCUCUCUCUCUGUCCGUCCCUCCCUCUCUCUC
ensembl:lncRNA